rnacentral:rRNA from 1 species
AUGUUUGUGGCCCAAUUAGCUAGAAAACAGGAAGUGAAUUCAGCAUUUUUCUAUGAUUUUGAGGUGAAUGAUGAGGGGAACCUGGUGCGUGUGUUCUGGGCGGAUGCCACAAGUAGGAAGAACUAUAGUCACUUUGGUGAUGUGAUAUCCUUCGAUUCUACAUACACCACUAAUCAGUACAACAUGAUAUUUACACCAUUUACAGGGGUUAACCAUCACUUACAAAGUGUCUUUUUUGGUGCUGGAUUCUUAUCAAAUGAGAAGGAUGAGUCAUACAUUUGGUUAUUUCAGACCUUCCUAAAAGCAAUGGGAGGGGUAGCACCUAGACUCAUCAUAACUGAUGAAGCUGCUAGCAUCAAGAAUGUUAUUGAUAAAGUUCUUCCAGCCACUAUGCAUAGGUUAUGCAUGUGGCAUAUAAUGGAAAAGGUGCCUGAAAAAGUUGGACCUUUGAUUAGAGAAGAUUCUAAAUUUUGGCCGAGGUUGAACUCAUGUGUUUGGGGUUCAGAAACUGCAAGUGAGUUUGAAUCACAAUGGAAUUCCAUCAUUACUGAUUUUGGGUUGGAGGAUAACGAGUGGUUGGCUAAGAGGUUUACCAUUAGAGAUACAUGGAUACCAGCCUACUUUAUGGAUAUAUCUCUUGCGGGCUUGCUCUGA